UACGUAGGGUGCAAGCGUUAAUCGGAAUUACUGGGCGUAAAGCGUGCGCAGGCGGUUAUAUAAGACAGUUGUGAAAUCCCCGGGCUCAACCUGGGAACUGCAUCUGUGACUGUAUAGCUAGAGUAUGGUAGAGGGGGAUGGAAUUCCGCGUGUAGCAGUGAAAUGCGUAGAUAUGCGGAGGAACACCGAUGGCGAAGGCAAUCCCCUGGACCUGUACUGACGCUCAUGCACGAAAGCGUGGGGAGCAAACAGG
rnacentral:rRNA from 1 species